CUCGCUGCCCCACCUGACAUUGAAGAAUUCACAUAUACAAAAGUGAGUGCAUCUACAAAUUCAAUUGACACAGGUAAACCUCCUGCUAACUGGGAGAAAGUCCUUGAAGGGAUCCGCAAAAUGAGGUCUUCUGAAGAUGCACCAGUAGACAGUAUGGGUUGUGAGAAAGCUGGAAGUGCUCUUCCUCCUAAGGAAAGAAGAUUUGCUGUCUUGGUGUCUUCUCUCUUAUCAAGCCAAACGAAGGAUCAUGUUAAUCAUGGAGCAAUUCAGCGUCUACUUCAAAAUAAUCUGCUCUCUGCUGAUUCCAUUGACAAAGCUGAU